rnacentral:tRNA from 1 species
GUCACUUUGCCGGAGUGGUUAACGGGAUCGCCUGCUAUUUAUAGCUGCUAGCGGUUGUGCUUUGCACGCGAGUGUUCGAAUCGCUCAGGUGACG